rnacentral:rRNA from 1 species
UGAACGCUAGCGGCAGGCUCAACACAUGCAAGUCAGGGGUNUAGUCUUCGGAAUUAGAGACCGGGCGACACGGGUGCGUAACGCGUAUGCAAUCUACCUUUCACAGAGGGAUAGCCCAGAGAAAUUUGGAUUAAUACCUCAUAGUGUUAUUAGAUGGCAUCAUUUGAUACUAAAGUUCCAACGGUAAAAGAUGAGUAUGCGUCCUAUUAGCUAGAUGGUAAGGUAACGGCUUACCAUGGCUACGAUAGGUAGGGGUCCUGAGAGGGAGAUCCCCCCACACUGGUACUGAGACACGGACCAGACUCCUACGGGAGGCAGCAGUGAGGAAUAUUGGACAAUGGGCGCAAGCCUGAUCCGAGCCAUGCCGCGUGCAGGAAGAAGCAUCUAUGGUGUGUAAACUGCUUUUGUACGGGAAGAAACACUCCUACGUGUAGGAGCUUGACGGUACCGUAAGAAUAAGGAUCGGCUAACUCCGUG